GAAAUAUUCAAGUUGGGUUCAAUGUCAAAGCUCUUGGGAAAUUAUGUUCUUUAUUUGCGUAACAUGUUUUCUCCAGAGCUUAUCCAUUGAAGUCUAAUCUUUCCUCUUUUGGUGUGAAGUUUGAGAAGUUGAUCUGUGGAAGUUGAAAAGAGUGUUGAGAAAUUAUGCUCUUUGUGUUACGUGAUUUGUCCAGAGAUUAUCUAUUGAAGUCUAAUCUGUUCUUAUUUGAGCUAAAAUGAGAUAAAGGAAGCGUCUGAUAAGUUGUCAAAAUAACCCAACCAAAGACUUAAAAAUUCUACAACCUAAAGAUAUGCAAGGCAUUGGACUCGCUCAAAGCAAGAUUAAAGGUACAACAACUGCUGUUACAACGAAAAAGAACAAAAUUGUUAAUAAAAGAAAACAAAUUCUUAUACUAUCAUUUAUGUCUACAAUGCCAAAAAUUAAAUUUUCCAUUAUGUUUAAUAAAGUGCAUUUUAUUUUUUCUCUCAAA